UACGGGAGGCAGCAGUGGGGGGAUAUUGCACAAUGGGGGGAAACCCUGAUGCAGCGACGCCGCGUGAGUGAAGAAGUAUUUCGGUAUGUAAAGCUCUAUCAGCAGGGAAGAUAAUGACGGUACCUGACUAAGAAGCACCGGCUAAAUACGUGCCAGCAGCCGCGGNAAUACGUAUGGUGCAAGCGUUAU
rnacentral:rRNA from 1 species